AUUGAACGCUAGCGGGAUGCCUUACACAUGCAAGUCGAACGGAGUGGCGAACGGGUGAGUAAUGUAUCGGAACGUGCCCAUUAGCGGGGGAUAACUACGCCUAAGCGUAGCUGAUACUGAAUACUCUUGCAGCGGUCGAUAUCGGAUUGGCUGGUUGGUGGGGUAACGGAACACCAAGGCGACGAUCCGUAGCUGGAUUGAGGGGACGACCAGCACAACUGGGACUGAGAGCGGGCCAAGACUCCUACGGGAGGAAGCAGUGGGGAAUUUUGGACAAGGGGAGAAACCCUGAUCCAGAAAGCCCGCGUGUUCGAUGAAGGCCUUCGGGUUGUAAAGCACUUUGGGCAGGAAAACGGUACCUGCAGAAUAGGCACCGGCUAACUACGUGCCAGCCGCCGCGGUAAUUC
rnacentral:rRNA from 1 species